AGCGGCGGACGGGUGAGUAAUGCUUAGGAAUCUGCCUAUUAGUGGGGGACAACAUUCCGAAAGGAAUGCUAAUACCGCAUACGUCCUACGGGAGAAAGCAGGGGAUCUUCGGACCUUGCGCUAAUAGAUGAGCCUAAGUCGGAUUAGCUAGUUGGUGGGGUAAAGGCCUACCAAGGCGACGAUCUGUAGCGGGUCUGAGAGGAUGAUCCGCCACACUGGGACUGAGACACGGCCCAGACUCCUACGGGAGGCAGCAGUGGGGAAUAUUGGACAAUGGGCGGAAGCCUGAUCCAGCCAUGCCGCGUGUGUGAAGAAGGCCUUUUGGUUGUAAAGCACUUUAAGCGAGGAGGAGGCUACCUAGAUUAAUACUCUGGGAUAGUGGACGUUACUCGCAGAAUAAGCACCGGCUAACUCUGUGCCAGCAGCCGCGGUAAUACAGAGGGUGCGAGCGUUAAUCGGAUUUACUGGGCGUAAAGCGUGCGUAGGCGGCUGAUUAAGUCGGAUGUGAAAUCCCUGAGCUUAACUUAGGAAUUGCAUUCGAUACUGGUCAGCUAGAGUAUGGGAGAGGAUGGUAGAAUUCCAGGUGUAGCGGUGAAAUGCGUAGAGAUCUGGAGGAAUACCGAUGGCGAAGGCAGCCAUCUGGCCUAAUACUGACGCUGAGGUACGAAAGCAUGGGGAGCAAACAGGAUUAGAUACCCUGGUAGUCCAUGCCGUAAACGAUGUCUACUAGC
rnacentral:rRNA from 1 species